rnacentral:rRNA from 1 species
GACAAACGCUGGCGGCGUACCUAAGACAUGCAAGUCGAACGGGUGCGGCGCCCUUCGGGCGCCGUGCGAGUGGCGGACGGGUGAGUAACGCGUAGGAACCUAUCGCACAGUGGGGGAUACCACGGGAACCGGUGUUAAUACGCAUGAGGUCAGCGAUGACCAAAGCAGCAAUGCGCUGUGUGCGGGGCCUGCGUCCGAUUAGCUGGUUGGUGGGGUAAGGGCCUACCAAGGCGACGAUCGGUAGCUGGUCUGAGAGGAUGGUCAGCCACACUGGGACUGAGACACGGCCCAGACUCCUACGGGAGGCAGCAGUUAGGAAUUUUGCAAUGGGGGAAACCCUGACAGAGUAACGCCGCGUGGAGGAUGACGGCC